rnacentral:rRNA from 1 species
UACGGAGGGUGCGAGCGUUGUCCGGAAUCACUGGGCGUAAAGGGCGCGUAGGCGGUCUGGUAAGUAGGGGGUGAAAUCCUGCGGCUUAACCGCAGGGCUGCCUUCUAAACUGCCAGACUUGAGCACAGUAGAGGCAGGUGGAAUUCCCGGUGUAGCGGUGGAAUGCGUAGAGAUCGGGAAGAACAUCGGUGGCGAAGGCGGCCUGCUGGGCUGUUGCUGACGCUGAGGCGCGACAGCGUGGGGAGCAAACAGG